AUCCCGCAAGCUGCUGCUCUGUUCAGGCCCAGUCUCUGAGGUUAGAUUCAAAACUCGAUGUCUAAGGUCCUCCAUUCUGAUUUUAAAUUUAUCUCCCAAAUUUUUCUUGUUCCAGAUUAAGGCCUUGGCGACCGCCUCCUGUACACAAUCCAUAGGUGGGCCCUCGCAGUAUUCAUCAUCCAGAUAUUCUAGACUAUUUUGCUUGUGGAGACCGCAUGCUGGAGUCUUCUCGACUGGGCAACGACCUGCCAGUUUCGCUAUUGCUUUAGCUUCAUCAGGAAAAGAGAUCUGU